AACGAACGCUGGCGGCAUGCCUAACACAUGCAAGUCGAACGAGACCUUCGGGUCUUGUGGCGCAUGGGUGCGUAACGCGUGGGAACCUUCCCUUAGGUUCGGCAUACCUCCCCGAAAGGGGUGCUAAUACCGGAUAAUGUCUUCGACCCAAAGAUUUAUCGCCUUUGGAUGGGCCCGCGUUGGAUUAGCUAGUUGGUAGGGUAAAAGCCUACCAAGGCGACGAUCCAUAGCUGGUCUGGGAGGAUGGUCAGCCACACUGGGACUGAGACACGGCCCAGACUCCUACGGGAGGCAGCAGUGGGGAAUAUUGGACAAUGGGCGAAAGCCUGAUGCAGCAAUGCCGCGUGAGUGAUGAAGGCCUUAGGGUUGUAAAGCUCUUUUACCCGGGAUGAUAAUGACGGUACCGGGAGAAUAAGCUCCGGCUAACUCCGUG
rnacentral:rRNA from 1 species